GACGAAUCACGGAGGUCGUGGUCUCGCGCAUCGUCCUGGAUGUCCGCCAAUCAUCCCACUAGCUCCACUACAUGACCUUGGCUAUAGUCGUGACGAUGUCCACAGCUGUGGGGCCAAGAACGGCAAGCUGUCUCGAACAUUACAACCACUAUGUCUGUUUUAAGAGGCUCCUUCAGAGUGCCAUUCUAAGCGGCGUUCUCCCUUUCUUCCUUCCUUUCCCUGCGUCGGCAUUGGAACCGGCACAGCGAACGACGAGCGAAGCGAAGGAUGAAAGUACAAGAGACCGUGAAGAGGAAAGCAGCGGGGGAGCGUACGCUGAGAGUGAAGAGAGCGCGAGGAGAAAAGCUAAGAACUUGCGACACGGCGAACGCGAAGAGGGGACGAGGAGGAAAGUGAAGGAGUAGGGUACCACGAGAGCAGUCGAAUGAGCCAUUCUCGGUCUGCGGCUUCUACCUAUUCGAGUCUCCAAUGAACUACAGAUGACGCACCGAACUUCCAAAAUGACGGACGAAAACAAGCCUACCGAGCAAAGCGAGCAUAGGGACUGCAGUGUCGGCGGCAUUAUGUUCAUCAUCUGGAUUCUGUUUCAGUUUUAAUAGACACAUGAAAUGCUUCAUGAAAGCCAAACAUCUGCGAACACCAUUUGUGUACGGGCCAACAGAAGAAACAAAAGUUACUUUCGGAACUUUCGGAGACAAAAGUAACUAUUAUAAAAAUUGUAAUGCACAA